rnacentral:sRNA from 1 species
GUCACGCAGGCGCGGGGGGCCGCGUCGAGAACCCCGCGCGGGAGCUUCUGGAGUCUCCAGCCACCGCUUCUCACUUCAUUGGAGAAGGGAGCUGGGGCUGGGGCUGGGGCCGGGAGGGAGCUAAUAAACAUUGAAUGUGCAGCAGCCGCCUUGGCGGCCGGAGUCCGCCCGAGCGACACCGGAGCAGUGCGCCCGGGAGGCGGCGAGGGGAGGCGGUUCGCCUUGUCCCUCCCACCCGCGCCUCUUUCUCUCUCUUCCUCCAGCUGGUCCCAGAGCCCGGCUUAGUCCGGUCCCUCUGCCCCCAUCCCGCACCCUUCAACCUCCUCCGAGUCCCACUCCUCACCUAGGACGCCCCAAACUGCCAUGGGUUAGGGUGGGGAUCGCGACCCGCGCGAAAGACCAGCCCUGCGCUUCCGCCGGGGGACGCGGAGCCCAAACGCCGCUCACCGCUUGCGGGCGCCGGGCAUGGGGAGUGUGGUGUGAGCCCGCACCCGGGGAGGACGCAGGAGCUGCGGAGCCGGGCGCGAGGAGGAGGAGAGGAGUCGUGGAUUGGAAGGACCCGAGGGAGGGAGGGUGGGGAAGCGAGGGAAAAGUGAAGCUGGGAGGAGAAGGCGGCGGAAGGUGGAGAUUGAUGCUUCUGUUUUUUGUUGCCGCUGCUGCCCUCGCGCUGGGAGCCGAGCCGGAGGGAAGGCGGUGGAGAGAUGAUUGCAGAGUUGGUGAGCAGCGCUCUGGGGCUCGCCUUGUAUCUCAACACCCUGAGUGCGGAUUUCUGCUAUGAUGACAGCCGUGCUAUCAAGACUAAUCAGGACCUUCUCCCAGAAACUCCAUGGACUCACAUUUUCUACAAUGAUUUUUGGGGGACUCUUCUAACCCACAGUGGCAGCCACAAGUCCUACCGGCCACUCUGCACUCUUUCUUUUCGCCUGAACCAUGCCAUUGGAGGGUUGAAUCCCUGGAGCUACCAUCUCGUCAAUGUCCUGUUGCAUGCAGCAGUCACUGGUCUCUUCACAAGCUUCUCCAAGAUCCUCCUUGGUGAUGGAUACUGGACAUUCAUGGCUGGCUUGAUGUUUGCUUCUCACCCCAUUCACACGGAGGCAGUGGCAGGAAUCGUGGGACGAGCCGAUGUCGGGGCCAGUCUCUUCUUUCUCCUCUCCUUGCUCUGCUACAUUAAACACUGUUCUACAAGAGGCUACUCAGCCAGAACCUGGGGCUGGUUCCUGGGGACAGGACUGUGCGCAGGAUGCAGCAUGUUGUGGAAGGAACAAGGAGUGACUGUUCUCGCAGUUUCAGCAGUUUAUGAUGUCUUUGUCUUUCACAGGCUGAAAAUAAAACAGAUAUUACCUACCAUUUACAAAAGGAAGAACUUGUCGCUUUUCCUCAGCAUUAGUUUGUUAAUUUUCUGGGGUUCCUCCCUUUUGGGUGCCCGGUUAUACUGGAUGGGAAACAAACCACCAAGCUUUUCCAACUCGGACAACCCCGCUGCUGAUUCGGACAGCCUCCUCACCCGCACGCUCACCUUCUUCUACUUGCCAACCAAGAACCUCUGGCUGUUGCUAUGUCCAGAUACCCUCAGUUUUGAUUGGUCAAUGGAUGCUGUGCCUCUGCUCAAAACAGUUUGUGACUGGAGAAACCUACACACUGUGGCCUUCUAUACUGGACUCCUUCUCCUUGCCUACUAUGGUUUGAAGAGCCCGAGCGUAGACAGAGAAUGCAAUGGGAAAACUGUCACAAAUGGCAAGCAGAAUGCAAAUGGACAUAGCUGCCUUUCAGAUGUGGAGUACCAGAACUCAGAGACUAAGUCCAGCUUUGCAUCCAAAGUAGAAAAUGGCAUUAAAAACGAUGUAUCACAGAGAACCCAGCUUCCUUCUACGGAGAACAUUGUUGUUCUGUCUUUAUCUUUGUUAAUCAUACCCUUUGUUCCUGCCACGAACCUGUUUUUCUAUGUCGGCUUUGUAAUUGCAGAGCGAGUAUUAUAUAUUCCUAGUAUGGGCUUCUGCCUACUGAUUACAGUGGGUGCUAGAGCCCUUUAUGUCAAAGUCCAAAAGCGGUUCCUCAAGAGCUUCAUUUUUUAUGCUACAGCUACACUAAUUGUUUUUUAUGGACUCAAGACUGCGAUCAGGAAUGGAGACUGGCAGAAUGAGGAAAUGCUGUAUAGAUCAGGGAUAAAAGUAAACCCAGCUAAAGCAUGGGGUAACCUUGGAAAUGUUCUGAAGAGUCAGAGCAAAAUUUCUGAAGCUGAAAGCGCCUAUAGAAAUGCUUUGUACUACCGCAGCAACAUGGCUGACAUGCUUUAUAAUUUAGGGCUACUUCUCCAGGAGAACAGCAGGUUUGCAGAAGCACUACAUUAUUAUAAAUUGGCCAUUGGGAGCAGGCCUACCCUGGCUUCUGCAUAUUUAAAUACCGGUAUUAUUCUAAUGAACCAAGGAAGGACGGAAGAAGCCCGACGGACAUUCUUAAAGUGUUCGGAGAUCCCAGAUGAAAACCUAAAGGACCCUCAUGCACACAAGAGCUCUGUUACCAGUUGUUUGUACAACCUAGGAAAGCUGUAUCAUGAGCAGGGACACUAUGAGGAAGCCCUUACUGUAUACAAGGAAGCAAUUCAGAAAAUGCCAAGGCAGUUUGCCCCACAGAGCUUGUACAACAUGAUGGGUGAAGCAUAUAUGCGUUUAAGCAAACUUCCCGAAGCAGAGCAUUGGUAUAUGGAAUCACUGAGAUCCAAGACUGACCACAUACCUGCUCAUCUCACCUAUGGGAAGCUGCUAGCUCUAACAGUGAGUAACCGCCUUCCUUGGUCUUUAAAACUUGGUUUUCUCCAUGCAGACUGGGAUAGAUGGGGUUUGAGGUACUGUUUUACAGCCAGUUAUCUAAGCUAUUAGGGAUGUAAUGGUGGUGAUACUAACUUUGAACCCUGUAGAGAAAAUAUAGAAAAAUUUGUUACUUUGCCUAUGAGGUUUGGUCUAGAUAAGAUGUGAGAUGUCUGUAUCUUACAUCUUGGUCUAGAUAAGAUGUGAGAUGUCUGUAUCUUACAUCUUGGUCUAGAUAAGAUGUGAGAUGUCCGUAUCAUCCCUGUAUCAAAACAUCUCCUGUAUCCCAUAAAUAUAUACACCUAUUAUGCACCUAUAGAAAAUGUUUAAAAGAAUUAAAAAAUUAAAAAAACAAAACAAACAGAUGUGAGAUGCCAUGAUCCUUGAUGUAACUUUGAAAAAUAUAAAUGGAGAAUCCCAAAUAUGGAAUUACAUAAUGAAUUUGUUCUAAUAAUCAUAUUUGCAUAAAUAUUAUGUUCUACAAACCAGUGUUAGCCCCAAAUUGG